AGAGUUUGAUCCUGGCUCAGGACGAACGCUGGCGGCGUGCUUAAUACAUGCAAGUCGAGCGAGGCCUUGGAAUUGGAGUCCUUUCGGGAUGAAGAGUCCUUGGCCUAGCGGCGGACGGGUGAGUAACGCGUGGGCAACCUACCCCAAAGUCCGGGAUAACAGUGGGAAACCGCUGCUAAUACCGGAUGGCUUUACCUGAGGGCAUCCUCGGGUAAAGAAAGGUUACGCUUUGGGAUGGGCCCGCGUCCCAUUAGCUAGUUGGUGAGGUAACGGCUCACCAAGGCGACGAUGGGUAGCCGGCCUGAGAGGGUGAACGGCCACACUGGGACUGAGACACGGCCCAGACUCCUACGGGAGGCAGCAGUAGGGAAUAUUGCGCAAUGGGCGGAAGCCUGACGCAGCGACGCCGCGUGAGCGAAGAAGGCCUUCGGGUCGUAAAGCUCUGUCCUUGGGGAAGAAGGCGAAAGCUUGACGGUACCCAAGAAGAAAGCCCCGGCUAACUACGUGCCAGCAGCCGCGGUAAUACGUAGGGGGCGAGCGUUGUCCGGAAUUACUGGGCGUAAAGGGUGCGUAGGCGGCCUUUUAAGUCAGAUGUGAAAGGCUGCGGCUUAACCGCAGGACUGCAUUUGAAACUGGAAGGCUUGAGUGUCGGAGAGGGUAGUGGAAUUCCCAGUGUAGCGGUGAAAUGCGUAGAUAUUGGGAGGAACACCAGUGGCGAAGGCGACUACCUGGACGAUAACUGACGCUGAGGCACGAAAGCUAGGGGAGCAAACAGGAUUAGAUACCCUGGUAGUCCUAGCCGUAAACGAUGGGUACUAGGUGUAGGUGGUUUCGAUACCAUCUGUGCCGCAGUUAACGCAAUAAGUACCCCGCCUGGGGAGUACGGUCGCAAGACUGAAACUCAAAUGAAUUGACGG
rnacentral:rRNA from 1 species